AGACAAUGAGAGCCGCGCUGCCUGCGGGCGUGGGCUGAGCCGCAAGCCCUGUCCCCGGAGUGGGGGCGAGUCCACCCGGGGGGCACCGAGCCCAGGGACCCCGGGGGAGGGGCGGAGGCCACAGAACGCCUGACCUGGCUAGCGACCCGCACCCAUCCAGCGGCGGUGCACCCUCCCGCUCCCGCAGUCGCACACACACACCCACACGAGGGAGGGGGAGGGAGCCUUGGCACGGGAGGAGUUGGCAGUGCACAGUCCCGCGCCGCCGCCGCGGCGGGAGGGGCGCUCCAGACCUUGGGUCAGCACGCCCCCAGAAGGAAGGGGGAACGUGCUCUGCGCCCCCCCGCCCCCCAACCCCCGCCUAGCCCCUUCACAGCAAAUGCGCUUUUUGCCCUGAAGUUGUGUGAGACCGACCUUAAACUUUCUCCGACCCUAUCUCGGGAUGCUACGGCUCAGGUCGUGGUGGUUUCGGGAACCUCAAGACAACAUUCCCCAGCUGACCUUUGGGAACUUUAACUCGGGUCGUCAUGUACGGAAAGGUAGUCUAUGGGGUACGCAGAAUGGAAAAGGGCUUCCACAUCAGUCGUGUCCGAGGACGCUCUCCAACUUUUGAUGUCCCUGGAGAGUUUCUGAUAUUUCCCUGGAGAGUUUCAGAAAGGAUUUCUUCCGACAGACGUGACCCCAGAAGGCUGCCGAGGGAGACUUUAGGACAAGAGGCGUUGUUUUUUUAGGGAAGGAAGAGGAGCCUGUGCAGAGUUGAACUGGGGUGGAGAGGUGCCUUGUAAAGUAUGGUUUCCAGAGAUGGUGAGACCUCGUAGCUAAGCGUUGUUUCCUCUGCACGUAACUUUUCAGCGUGGCCGCAUUUGGAAAAGGCUGAAGGUAGAAAACUCUGGAAUGGAGAGGCUGGCGACUGGAGCAGGAUCCAGGGGCUUUAAAUUUUAACCUGAAUGCGAUCGAAUGCGCGACUCCCAGAAGAGAUAGCCAGGCGUCCGCCCGGCCGCUCAACCCCCGCCAGGACUCGGAAUGCCUUGCUUUUGGUUCUUUUCUACAAGGAUGUCUGCGUGGAUAUCCCUGGACACUCGAUACCCCCCGGGGACCUGCUUUUCCCGCAGCUCCGCAGACGCGGCGGGAGGGCGCGCUGGCCCCGGCGCUGCUGGGACAGAGGUGAGCAGCGGGGUGGACAUUGACCGAUUCGACAACGUUCGGGCUCUAAGGGCUCGGGAAGGGACCCGGCAUUUUACCCUCCAGAUUCCCAAUCUAUUUUUAAAAAUAAUGUUCAAAACAUAUGGGAAAAAUAAGUGAUUGCUCCUUUUCAUGGUCACAGAUUGUAUUUAUUUUUUCAGACUGGUUUUCCAACCUAACGAGGGAAUGGGUAGUGAAUGUUGUUGUUGUUGUUGUUGUUUAUGUUGGUUAAUUUCGAAAUAAAACUGUUUAACUCGUACAGUUGAUUCAGACAGAAAACCAGGCUGCCUGACGUCUCCAAUGUGCCUUUUCCCCAAUGCAUCUUUGGCGCUAGGGACCGCUCUGGGGAAGACAAGCAUGUUUUCAAAGCCACUCCCAUGAGCCCCAGACCCGCGCGUGGAGCUUCCUGGGCGCGCCCCAGCUGGUCUGGAAGGCCGGCAAAUUAGGAAGUUUGGAGGGAAGAGGUGCACCCCAAACUAGGGAGAAACCCAAGAGCUGGGGAGAAGGCCCCCACUAGUGUCCAAAGUACGCGGACAGCUCUUAAAAGUUAUUGUUUUCUUCGUGGGGAUAUAUAUUUUUUCUUUUCCUUCCUUUCCUUUUUUUUUUUCUUUCACCCUCGCAUGUCUCCUCUUUCGGGAUUUGCUAAUCUUGAACGAAACUGUUCUCUCCGGACUGUUUCGACCCAAUGAGCGGCCCCUCCUGGGCAAGUCGUCCCCCUUACCCUCACAGAGGGCUGGCUCCCGGGCGCGGCCUGUCCCCAGGGUUGAUUUAUUUCGGCCGCGCCACACCACUAUUCGCGAUUCGAAUCCACCCAGAACACUGCAGCCAAUUGGGCAGGGGGCGGGGGCUUGGCUGCCAAACGGGAAGGGUGUUUGGGGACCCAGUCUUGCGCCGCUUCCGGAGGAGCGGCGAGACCCAGCAAGGACCCGCGUCCCCGUGCACCUCCACCCCCGCAAACUCACGCUCAUUUUACGAUCCUGUCACAAAACUGGCUGCUUCGGCGAUGUUUCAUAAGGAAAAAGAAUGCAUUUCUGACUUAAAACAUAUUUUUAACUUAGAUUUUUAACAGCCCAGAUUUAUGAGGCCUUCUCGCUUAUACCAUAUUUCUUCCCGUCUCUGGGACGCUUUUACCCAAGGACCCGGGGUCACCUCAGAGCCCCCCACCCCUGCCAGCGUCUGGGGCCAGUGGUGGGUUCCGGGCGGCGUGUCCCCCACUCAGCGGCCGCACUGCACGGUAGGCCGUCGACCAGAGUCCUGGCGGUGAUUUUCUUUAAGUUUAAAUCUCGGGAAACCAAAAACACUCUUUAGAAACGUCAGGUGGUGGCGGCGGAAACUUGCAGGUCGCCCCCACCCCCAGCGCCGGCUCCCGCCGGCGGCCACUUCGGGGAAGGACCGCGCGGAGCCAGCGCCGGGGUCCCCGGGCGGUCGGAAUCGAGGCCCGGCGCGUUGCGCAGGCCAGGCCCGGCCCGGAGGCCCCUUGCCCGGCGCAGCCCCCGGCCGACCCCCGUGCGCCGCCGGCGGCCGCCAGCACGGCGCGGAGGUGGGCUAGCGGCGGCGGCGCACGAAAGGUCACCGCGGUGGCAUUCCUCUCCGCGCUGUUUACGUGACUUAAUGUACUCGCUGCGCCGCGGCACCCUAUCUUCUAAAAGAAGAUCUAAACCUUCAUAAUGAAAACUUUAAAAAGGAAUUUAUGGGAUGUAACAAAGAAUACUCUUCUCUAGAUAAAAUGACAGGGAAAUAGAUUUGUCUUUCAGAAGGCAAAGUCUGGAGGGAACAUAAAAGUCUUCCCGUCCCUGCAGUUUUUCUGCCCGAUUUGUGCCCAGAGCCUGUUUUUCUCUUGUCUUUGACAGUUCUGAUCUUCUCUACGUUUGAUUUACUGAGUGCUGUCAUUUCUCUGCUCUUUACUUUCACAAUCACACAUUCAAACCUGAUAAAGUUCAAGACCCUGAAUACUUGCAGCUCUCCCAGAUUUACAGCCCUCCUGCCCCCCAGCCCAGCCAGCCGUCCCGAGGCUGAUUGAAUCCUCAUGGACAGAAGCCUUUGGGGGUCAGUGGAGAGCCAGAGGGUCCAAGAGGGCCAGGCCCAGGGGGAACAUCAGCCCCUGUGUCAACUCUGUUAUCCAUAGCAAGCCUGGGUAGGUCCCUUCCCCUUGAAAGCGAUUGUCAACAUCCUCUUGUUUCAGUUCUCACUUCUAGCCUGUAACCUGCCUGUGGGCAAGUACAGGAACUGUAACUCACAAAAUAGAAUUGGUGAGGAUUCAAGAGGCUGAGAUGGAAGUAUCGCUUGAGCCCAGGAGUUCGGGGCAGCAGUGAGCUAUGAUUACACCACUGCACCACUGCACUCCAGCCUGGGCAACAGAGCAAAGCCCACAGUCAAAAAAAAAAAAAAAAAAAAGGCCAGGUGCAGUGGCUCAUGCCUAUAAUCCCAACACUUUGGUAGGCUGAGGCAGGAAGAUCACCUGAGGUCAGGAGUUCGAGUUCGAGACCAGCCUGGCCAACAUGGUGAAACCCUGUCUCUAUAAAAACAGCAAAAAUUAGCCAGGCAUGGUGGCGUGUGCCUUUAGUCCCAGCUAUUCGGGAGGCUGAGGUGGAAGAAUCACUUGAACCCAGGAGGUGGAGGUUGCAGUGAGCCGAGAUCACUGCACUCCAGCCUGGGUGACAGAGUGAGACCUUGUCUCAAUUAAAAAAACAAAACAAAACAAAAAAAAAAACAGAGAGAGAGAAUUGGAUGCAAAAUUGUGGUCAAUGUGCAUGCAUAAGUGCUAGAUUUUCCUGGACUACUAAACAGCCUUGUAAUCAAGGGCAAGACACUUAACCUCUUCGUGUCUCAGUUGCUCCAUACAUAAAAUGGUAAAAAUAUUACUUUCUACAAACAUUAAUCACGAACUAAUGACUUGGGUCCCCUUUCCUGCAUGUACGUCCAUCAGGGCCCCAGAAAGACCACUAGCAUGUGGCUGAUCUGGCUCUUUGGUUUCUGUCAGGUUAAAUACAAACUUACACAUUAAUCUAAAUACUACACCAGUGGGCUAAACAAAAGGGAUGAUCCAUUUCCAAAGGCUGAACAGUUAACUUAGAGUCAAAUUUUCAAACCACUGAAAUGUCUUCUGAUAGAAGAUGCUAUCUAAAUUGUUUAUUCUUUGCCUGCGAAUAUAAGCCCACUCAACCAUAGAACGCUGACCAAAAGCAAUCACUGAGGAUGGACGCCCUUAUUCUCAAUGAUUACUCUAAAGGGACUUCAUACUUACCAAAUAAGCAAUUCUUUUGCAUGAGCUAAUGUUUUCAUUUAUCUUGAACUAUCAGAGUUUUCUGACUAAGGUACACAUUUUAGGUGGCAGCAGUUUAAGUAGGUAUUUUUUUUUAAUCACUAUUCUAAGUCUAUGGACUAAGAAAGGUAUGAUUCCCCUCCCCCCCCUUUAAUGUUCAUGUCCUACAGAGAGCCAAAUUGUCAUAAUACCUAAGGGGAAAAUUGUAUUAACCUAUUAGGGAAGGAAGCAGAGUAGUUGCCUACCUUCUUCAGAAGGGAUUUUUAUUUUUAAUCUAUCCACUCAAGAGACACCCUUUAGAGUAUAUUACAAUGUUGCUUUUUCCUGGCCAUAAUAAUAUUCACCCCUACAGAGGUGGAUAAAGAUAGAAACCUGACUUAAUGGAUAUCAAAUAACUUUUUCUGGCUACUCUUAAGCUAGAUUACUGCUGUUUAUAAUACCACAAAUUAAAGAUAUGCAAUUAUCCAACAAAAAAAGUGUGACUAUUAUACCAUUUUUAAAGAUUGACUACCAGUGCCCAGCAAACUCUAGCCAAAAACCACAGUGUGGAUCCACAAAGCUGUCAACCUUUACAUUUCAGUCAUCUUUCUGUCCAGAGCUCAGCAUGCUUUGGGCAGAAGUGCAAAAGGCUAGGUGCAUGGGGAAAAGUCUAUCCAGUGUAACUGCUGCAGCAGCUGGCUGCACCUCUGCACCUGGAGCUAGAUUAAGCACCAGUUAUGGAGGCAUGGGUUCAAAUCCCAGAUAUGCAUCUUGCUGUUUCUCUUUAGUUGUGUGAUCUUGGGCAUGUUCCUUAAUAUCUCUACUCCUGGUCAGGCACGGUGGCUCACGCCUGUAAUGCCAGCACUUUCGGAGGCCAAGGCAGGUGGAUCACCUGAGGUCAGGAGUUCGAGACCUCUGUGGCCAACAUGGUGAAACCCCGUCUGUACUAAAAAUUCAAAAAUUAGCCGGAGGAGGCUAAUUCUUAUCUCUCAGGAGGCUGAGACAUAAGAAUCACUUGAACCCGGGAGGUGGAGGUUGCAGUGAGCUGAGAUUGCGCCACUGCACUCCAGCCUGGGCAACAGAGCAAGACCCUUCUCAAAAAAAAUAUAUAUAUAUGAUUUUCAUGAAGAUUAAAUGAAUUAAUAUUUAUAAAAUGCUUAGAAGAGUGUUUGGCUCACCAUACAGGGUUUUUGAGAUGUUUGAUAAAUAAGCAAAAACACAAACUUCUAUUUCAGGCCACUUUUUAAGGGGAAGAGAGGAGGUACCAAGGCCUCAAAGAAGUGAGGUAGGAGGGUGAUCAAAACUAAAAAGAAAAGACGAGAAAAAGCUUUCAAGAAUAUCAGACAUUUCCUAUAGGGAAUUAUUUGCAAUCAUCAACUCACCCUGUCUGUCCCUAGGUGAUAGUGCAAGUAAGUUUGUGUUUGUUUUAUUUGGUCAAACUCCUUGAUCCUGCUGAGACAAACACUAUGGUGGGUACUAGGGAAGCAAAGAUGCUUGACAAUGCCCUGCCCUCAAGCUGCUCCCAGAUAAGCAGGAGAGACAGACAAGAUUACAGAAAAUCGUCACACCAGGUGGCAAGUGCCACUGUAGAGAGAAAUCAGGGGACUGUUGGAGUGCAACCAGAGAAGGCUUCCUGGAGCAGUCGUAAAACUCACCUGACUGAGUUUUGAGAAAUGACUUAAUCAGACAAGGUUUAGGAAGUGAGAAGCAGCAAAGAUAAUUAACUGGAGCCUUAGUGUGAAGUGCCAGCAAGAAAGCAGAGAGGUUGGCAGGAUUCUAAUGCAGCCAAAGAUCUUUUAACUAUAAAAUUAUACUAAAAAUGUAGAUGCAAAAAUAUGCCUUUUAGAACAAAAGAUAAGGAGUGUCAAUGAGAAAGAAAUGAUCAAACCUCCAAGUGUAUUCACUGGAAAAUUGACCUCAAGGAUGAAAACCUCUUCAGACAGAGAGAUCACUGUUGCAUGCUAUGAGGGCCAAGUCAUGACUGAAUCUGCUAAAGUAAAUUGUAAUUAGAUUUGGGGCAUUAAAGUGGAACCCAAAAUAAUAAAAUUAGGCUGGAACACUAGAAUGUCAGCUCAAAACGGCCGGGCACGGUGGCUCACGCCUGUAAUCCCAGCACUCUGGGAGGCCGAGGCAGGCUGAUCAUGAGGUCAGGAGAUCGAGACCAUCCUGGCUAGCAUGGUGAAACCCCAUCUCUACUAAAAAUACAAAAAAUUAGUCAGGCGUGGUGACAGGCACCUGUGGUCCCAGCUGCUCGGGAGGCUGAGGCAGGAGAAUGGCGUGAACCCGGGAGGCGGAGGUUGCAGUGAGCCGAGAUCGUGCCACUGCACUCCAGCCUGGGCGACAGAGCGAGACUCCGUCUCUAAAAAAAAUAAAAAUAAAAAAGAAUGUAAGCUCAAGAAAACUGGAAUUUUUGUCUGUUCUGUUCAUCACAGUUUCCCCAGAGCCCAGAACAGAGCCUGGCCCAUAGCAGGCAUGUCAUACGUAUUUGUUGAAUGAAUGGUACAUGAAAAUAUAUAGCACACUCCCCAUAACCUUGCCACUCACUUCUCUGAUGUUGAGACAUGAUAUCACCAGCCUCGUUGAUAUGCCAUCAAAUAGUAAUUCCCACUCACCAGCAUCACAACCUAUUGCCACAUCCCAGGGCAUUGUUGAUUGCUUUCACUUACAAUAAUACCCUCACUGUCUUUGGGCCUGUGGCACACUCUCCCCAGGCCCUGGCAACCUUUUACUUAGACUGCUGUAGGUCUCUUGGGAAGCAGGUGCUUGAGGGCUGUCCCCUCACAUUGGAACUGUAAAUGAAUUCUCUAACUGGCAUCAGACUUUCUACUCACUAUUUAAUAGUCUUCAUUCUCUACUUUCAAAAUCCUGGCACCUGCACCUCACUUGACCCUCCUUCCUGUCCCACCUAUGGCUUCUCUUCUCCCUCAAGCCUUCUCUCACGCACUGCUCUAGGGCUGAAUAGAAAUUCAAGCUCCCAGCUGGGCACAAUGGCUCACGCCUGUAAUCCCAGCACUUUGGGAGGCCGAGGCAGGUGGAUCCCCUGAGGUCAGGAGUUCAAGACCAGCCUGGCAAACAUGGCGAAACCCUCUCUUUCUAAAAAUGUAAAAAUUAGCAGGGCGUGGUGGCACACGCCUGUAAUCCCAGCUACUCAGGAGGCUGAGGCAGGAGAAUCGCUUGAACCCAGGGGUGGAGGUUGCAGUGAGCCGAGAUCGCACCACUUCACUCCAGCCUGGGUGAAAGAGCAAAACUCCAUCUCAAAAAAAAAAAAAAAGAAAAAGAAAGAAAUUCAGCCUUCCUCCUUUCCUAUUCCACCAGUCCCUGAGAUUCUACCUCCUCCACGAGAUCUCGCCUGACAAUUUAGAAGAGGAACAGUGGGUUUUGUUCGUACAUAAUCACCUCAUGUCCCUGGCACCAAUACUCAUGAAUAGUCCAGAACCAAUUUAACUUCGACAUACAAGAGGUCUCCCAGCUUUAAGUGCUAGUUAUGUUUCUGAAGAGUUGUGGGCAUGUAGCAUUUUUGAAAUCCAAAUUAUUCAAGGCCACCCU
rnacentral:lncRNA from 1 species